UAAUGUAUCGGAACGUGCCCAGUCGUGGGGGAUAACUGCUCGAAAGAGCAGCUAAUACCGCAUACGACCUGAGGGUGAAAGCGGGGGAUCGCAAGACCUCGCGCGAUUGGAGCGGCCGAUAUCAGAUUAGGUAGUUGGUGAGGUAAAGGCUCACCAAGCCGACGAUCUGUAGCUGGUCUGAGAAGACGACCAGCCACACUGGGACUGAGACACGGCCCAG
rnacentral:rRNA from 1 species